AAAAAAAAAAAGUUAGUGUGUGUGAAGAGAAGGUGAGAGGGGGCAGCGGGGUCAGGCAGAUCAAAGGGUGUCGUGGAGGUGCUGAGUGAGGUUAGCUGAGUGGGAGUGCAGGAUUGCCUCAAAAGGAAAGAAAUGCUCCUGAAUUUUUUAAUGUCUCGGUCCUGUUUCAUACCAGCCCUGUGGAGGCAUGGGGAGAGCCUUCCUGAGAGCCAGGGCCUUUCCUAACCCCGGUGAGGACACACAGACACAUAAUUUUAGCUUUUCACCACCUGUUUGGAAAGCUCCCGUAGCCGAGCGCUGUGGGACUGGAUGGUUUUUACAGGCAUGUACCCCGGGAGCUGCUUAUUUGCAUUAUGCAUGGACCAGGGCCUAAAAUAAUCUGCAGUGACGCACAUUUUUUUUGCUGUGAUUUUUUCCCCCCCACCCUUUUCCAGGACUCCAUUUUUUUGAACGUGCCGUGACUUUUGAGGACCACGCAUGGUUAGCCAGCCCCAGGGCUGCCGGAGCUCUGAUUCAGCUGAGCUGGGGGGAGCUGCCCCGUCCCCCGGCCGUGACACACGGAGGGAGAAGUGCCCUUGUGCUCUGCCUUGGCUUUCAUCUGCAGAGCGUGUAGCUGCAAGUGCGGCGUGUUUACAAAUGCAGGCAUUGCAAGAUCCCUUGAACUGUGUCCUAGUACAAAAGAGGCUUUGAAACGAGAAACACGUUGUCAUGGCAUGUUCCAGGCCAGCAGCACCAGACUGAACCAGAUAAUUGCUGUUUCUGCUUCAGCGUGGAAAAAGCAGCAGGUCUUGAGCAAGGCUUUUUUUCCCCUUAGACAUUUCGUGUGAUGCUCAGGAUGGAAGGAGAGGGUUGGGAAUGCCCGGGGCAGAGGAGGAAUGAUCUCCACAGGGCUGCAGGCAGAAUGACUCUGCUGGGCUCAGCCCGUGUAACCGUAGCCCGCGGGGCUGGUGACACUGACCCUCGCUAUGUGACACGGGGUGUCCGUGUUUUGUAACCCUGGCGUGCUGCCGGAGCCAGGAGAUGUGGCUCUCGCUGCUCCCUCGUGUUCCAGACCUUUCCCACUGCCCUUCUGCGGGCAGUUCACGGCACUUGAGAACUCUCCCAAUGCCUCUCAGUGCCAGAGACAGCUGCUAAUUGCAGAGAACAUUACUGGCCCUGGGCAAGGCAGCUCUGCCCUGGGAGCAGUGGCCAUGGCUCAGGGGUGCCUGUACCCCUGUGCCCUCACUCCUGAGGCACCUCCGUGCUGCAGUGUAAGAAAUGGAGGAUUGUAUUUUGGAAUAAUUCAUUUCUUAGCCAUGUGUCUUUCUCCCAGGUGUGUUUCUGCCCCAGGCACAUCACCCCAUGGAGGCAGCUGUUGCCAUCACACCCAGUGCCUCUGGAAAUGGCCAGACAGGAAAGCUCUGCAUGGGAAGGGUUUCUCACCACAUGUGCCUUGUUAAAACAGCAAACGGAGCAGGCUGGGAAAUACCACACAGCUGAUGGAAACAGGAAUGCCUGGAAAUAAAAGGCAACUCCCCCAGCUCCUCUUGUGCUUGUUGCUGCCCAUGGGAUAGUGGGAGCUGGCUGGGGUCUAUCCUGGGCUGGCUCCUCCUGCCAUCCAUCUCUUUGCACUACACAGAGGCAGGCCUGGCUGAGGCAGUACCCAGGAUGGGCUCCCACGUCAUUUUCUGAACACCAGCUCAGCCCAAGGAGCAAUGGCCACAGUCUGUGGCUGCCAGAGCUGUCUCACAAGAGGAAUAAUUAGUUUCUCUCUGCAACGCAGCUUUAUCCUUCCUUCAGCCCGUGCUGCUGCUGGAAGUGUAGCAGCAUUCCCUCCUCCGUGCGGCUCUCCGGUCGCCUCCGUGCCGUGGCAGCGAGAAAAGGCCGAGAUCUAUUCUGCUUUGAAAGGACUGAUGAAUAUGCAAACUAUUAGGGCUGAAAUAUUGCUUAUCCGCGUCACGGGGUGUGCACGGAGCGCGUGUUUGUGCUGCUGCCCGAGGAUGUGUACACCACCAGUGUGCAGCUGAGCAGCUUAGGGAAGAUUUAACUCUUAUUUCUAUUCUUGACACCGAAUCAUUAAUAAGGUUAUGGCCAUGCUGGGGGCCUUUCCCAGCACCCUCCUCCUGCUGUGGCAGGGCCUGGGGACCUGCUGGUGGGGUUUGACUGCAGCUAUUGAUUGGGGUAAAGCUCCAUCCCAAAUGGAAGCAGUUGCUGAUGAUUAUCUCGUGGUAUUAGUGCAUGUAUUGUGAAAUUGGUGUGAUUUGAGAUGAAAUGUGACCUAUGGGCAUAGGCAAUGUGUUCUAAUGUAUUCAGAAAUGCUGGGGCUGACGAGCUGUUGCUGCUGGUACCACACUGAUUAAACCCCAGCUCGCUCUGCUCCCAUUGAAAUCAGUGGGAGGUCUGUCAUUGCCUUCCGUGAGUGCUGGACUGGAUCCAGACUGCACUUCAUGGGAUGCAUUAUUCCACAGGAUUAGGGAGGCACAGGGAGCGGGAUUCCUCUCUCUCA